rnacentral:rRNA from 1 species
UACGUAGGGGCCUAGCGUUGUCCGGAUUUAUUGGGCGUAAAGAGCUCGUAGGCGGUUUGGUAAGUCGAACGUGAAAUCCCCCGGGCUCAACCCGGGAACUGCGUCCGAUACUGGCAGGCUUGAAUCCGGGAGAGGGAUGCGGAAUUCCAGGUGUAGCGGUGAAAUGCGUAGAAUAUCUGGAGGAACACCGGUGGCGAAGGCGGCAUCCUGGACCGGUAUUGACGCUGAUGAGCGAAAAGCCAGGGGGAGCAAAACAGGG